UAUGUAAGCGUACCAUGUGCAUGCCUGGUGCUGGCAGAGGUCAGAAGUGGAUAUAGGCACCAGAAUUAGAAAUAUACUUCCAUGUGGGUUUUGAGAACCAAAUUUAAGUCUUAGGUUAGAGCCACAAGUGUUUUUAACCACUGAGCCAUCUCUCCAUCCCCUCUCCUACCUUAAAAAUUAUGUUUUAAUUUUUUCUAAAUUCCAUGCACAUAUUCAGAACAUCUUGAUUCUGUAUACUGCUCCCAUUCUCCUGUCAACUCCCUGACUAGGAAAUCCUAUCUCAUAUCUCCCCCAACUUUACCCAUUCAUUUAUUAUUAACUCCCUGAGUCCAGUUAGUGCUGCCGAUAUGUGCACGGUGAGGGGGACACCGACUGGGAAUGGGAAACCCACCAAUGCCACACUCUCAAACAAAAGUGACACCUCUUCUACCAUGCUCUCUAUGCCAUCUCAUUGUGCUUCAUAAAGUCCUUAUUUUGCUUGCAUCUUUAAACAACUGUUUUUGUGUAUGUUGAUGGAUAUGUCUGUGUGAGCCUCUGCUAUGUCAGUUCAGGUGCCCACUGCUGCCAGAGGAAGGCCCAGAUCCCAUGGAACUGGAGGUAUAGAUGGCUGCGAGGUAUCUCAGAGUGUGCUCAAAGCUGAACAGCUGAACUGGCGCCUUUGGAAGAGCAGGAGUGCUUUUAACUGCUGAGCCAUCUCUCCAGCCCCUUCCUUUUGUAUUUUGAUCCCUGCUGUUCUUUCCCUGAAUGUUGCUGAUAUGUUUGUAGGGUACAGCAGCAUGCUCGUCUCUGAGGAUCCAGUGUUGUUCCCAUGGCUGCCUGUGGUGCACUGUUACAGGUGAGAUCCUCAGCGGCAGCCUUCAGUGUAGCCUGCUUCAGUUCUGUCAUCCCUGUGUCUGCAUCAGUUGGUUCUGACAGAGUAUAGGGGCCCGGUUUGCGUGUGCUUUCUCACCGUUUCUGUGUUAAUGCCCAUUUGGGUAC